AGAAAGAGUGAAUAUAAAGGGAUUGAUUCCAAAACAUGCAUGCUCAUGUUAUUGAAAUUACCAAACAAAGAUUACAAAUUUAAAAACAAACAAUACUUAACAAGAAAGACAUCACAACUGGAAAAAGUCCUAAUGAUCCUAGGGAUGAGCUUCCUAGUUAACUCACUGACUUUAAGAUAUUCUUUUUGACGUUAUUUCAAUUGUCAAAGUAAGGAGUGAU
rnacentral:lncRNA from 1 species